AAUCGGGCUGCUUCCUGUUGGUGAGCAGACAGCGUGGUGAGCGUGUCCACGCCCAGGUCUCAAGUGUGUGAAAGUGCGGCUGAAGAUGGGCUCCUGUGUGGGGUACCUCUCAGGAGACUUUGGAAGGAAAUUGUUGUUAUCCCUUUUAGGUCAAACACAAAAUUCCCUACUCUAAGUGCCCGUCAAUUGUGAAGAAAACACAGCAAAAGGAGAAAUGUGCUCUUCACAGAUAUUAAAGUCAAGAGUUAGACAUCUUCCACGCCCAAGCUAAGAGAGGAUUCUGGGAAGAUGGUGGAGCACCUAUGAAGUGAGAAUCUGUCUCCCCAC